GUUUUGUGUAGGGAGGACAGCUUCCAAACCUUCAAUUGUGCAAUGGUCUCAGAGCAGCCAGGGAAGCACAAAAUGUGGAAGGCCCUGACUCCUGAAGAGAUCUCUAUGAAAGUGAAAAAUCAAUGAACUGUGUAACUGAUCAUCUGAAGAAGUUCUGAAAAUCCCCCAAACUGGUCAAUGUCUACCACGAGGAAUAUCAGAUGCUGUUGUUGGUAAGCAGGAGGAAGGAGUCUACAAUCUCCUUCUACAUGCAUAGUUUCUAAUGUUAUUUUCUAAGUGUACAUUACAGUUCUUGGGGUUGGCUUGGCUCGAUCUUGACUUGAUUCCCUAUGGAAUGUUUUAUGUUUUGU
ensembl:lncRNA